UCCGUAGGGUGAACCUGCGGAGGGAUCAUUACCGAGUUUACAACUCCCAAACCCAAUGUGAACGUUACCAAACUGUUGCCUCGGCGGGAUCUCUGCCCCGGGUGCGUCGCAGCCCCGGACCAAGGCGCCCGCCGGAGGACCAACCAAAACUCUCUUUGUAUACCCCCUCGCGGGUUUUUUUAUAAUCUGAGCCUUCUCGGCGCCUCUCGUAGGCGUUUCGAAAAUGAAUCAAAACUUUCAACAACGGAUCUCUUGGUUCUGGCAUCGAUGAAGAACGCAGCGAAAUGCGAUAAGUAAUGUGAAUUGCAGAAUUCAGUGAAUCAUCGAAUCUUUGAACGCACAUUGCGCCCGCCAGUAUUCUGGCGGGCAUGCCUGUCCGAGCGUCAUUUCAACCCUCGAACCCCUCCGGGGGGUCGGCGUUGGGGAUCGGCCCUGCCUCUUGGCGGUGGCCGUCUCCGAAAUACAGUGGCGGUCUCGCCGCAGCCUCUCCUGCGCAGUAGUUUGCACACUCGCAUCGGGAGCGCGGCGCGUCCACAGCCGUUAAACACCCAACUUCUGAAAUGUUGACCUCGGAUCAGGUAGGAAUACCCGCUGAACUUAAGCAUAUCAAUAAGCGGAGGAA
rnacentral:rRNA from 1 species